GACAGAGGUGCCAAGCGUUAGGCGGAAUCACUGGGCUUAAAGCGUGUGUAGGUGGAUCGUUAAGUACCUUGUGAAAUCCCACGGCUUAACCGUGGAACUGCUCGGUAUACUGGCGGUCUUGAGCCAACUAGGGGCUAUCGGAACAAGUGGUGGAGCGGUGAAAUGCGUAGAGAUCCGGCGGAACACCGGUGGUGAAGGCGGUCUCCUGGGCCGAGGGCCGACGCUGAGGCGCGAGAGCGUGGGGAGCGAACCGG
rnacentral:rRNA from 1 species